AUUGAACGCUGGCGGCAUGCCUUACACAUGCAAGUCGAACGGCAGCACGGGGCAACCUGGUGGCGAGUGGCGAACGGGUGAGUAAUGCAUCGGAACGUACCUUUCAGUGGGGGAUAACGUAGCGAAAGUUACGCUAAUACCGCAUAUUCUGUGAGCAGGAAAGCAGGGGAUCGCAAGACCUUGCGCUGAUUGAGCGGCCGAUGUCAGAUAAGCUAGUUGGUGAGGUAAAGGCUCACCAAGGCGACGAUCUGUAGCGGGUCUGAGAGGAUGAUCCGCCACACUGGAACUGAGACACGGUCGAGACUCCUACGGGAGGCAGCAGUGGGGAAUUUUGGACAAUGGGGGCAACCCUGAUCCAGCCAUGCCGCGUGAGUGAAGAAGGCCUUCGGGUUGUAAAGCUCUUUCGGCCGGGAGGAAAUCGCACGGGCUAAUACCCUGUGUGGAUGACGGUACCGGAAUAAGAAGCACCGGCUAACUACGUGCCAGCCGCCGCCGUAACAC
rnacentral:rRNA from 1 species